rnacentral:rRNA from 1 species
GAAUCCCGUCUUUGACACGGACUACCUGUACAUUCAUGGUGUGCUCUCGAAGAGUCGAGUUGUUUGGGAAUGCAGCUCAAAAUGGGUGGUAAAUGCCAUCUAAAGCUAAAUAUUGGCGAGAGACCGAUAGCGAACAAGUACCGUGAGGGAAAGAUGAAAAGUACUUUGGAAAGAGAGUUAUACAGUGCGUGAAAUUGCUGAAAGGGAAACGCUUGAAGUCAGUCGCGUUGGCUAGGAAUCAACCCAGCUCCUGCUUGGUGUACUUUCUGGUCGACGGGUCAGCAUCAAUCUUGACCAUUGGAUAAAGUCUUUGGGAAUGUGGCAUCUUUGGAUGUGUUAUAGCCCAUAGUCGCAUACGGUGGUUGGGAUUGAGGAGCUCAGCACGCCGCAAAGGCCGGGUUUCGACCACGUUCGUGCUUAGGAUGCUGGCAUAAUGGCUUUAAUCGACCCGUCUUGAAACACGGACCAAGGAGUCUAACAUGCCUGCGAGUGUUUGGGUGGAAAAACCCAUGCGCGCAAUGAAAGUGAAAGUUGAGAUCCUCUUCAAAGGGGGAGCAUUGACGCCCGGACCAGACCUUUUGUGACGGAUCCGCGGUAGAGCAUGCAUGUUGGGACCCGAAAGAUGGUGAACUAUGCCUGAAUAGGGUGAAGCCAGAGGAAACUCUGGUGGAGGCUCGUAGCGAUUCUGACGUGCAAAUCGAUCGUCAAAUUUGGGUAUAGGGGCGAAAGACUAAUCGAACCAUCUAGUAGCUGGUUCCUGCC